ensembl:lncRNA
UUUGAAUUCAAUGCAACCCUAUCCCGAGAGUUUCCAUUUCACACUCAACCCCAGUCCAUCCCUGGCCUCAUCUUCACCUUGAUCCCAAUCUCCAACCCAUCACCUGUGAACCUCGUUCUUGAAAUCAACCCAACCCAUUCCCAUCUCCUUCCUCUUACCCAUAUCCAAUCCAUCCUCUUCCCUUACACAACCCAUUGGCACCCUCACCCAUCCCCAUUCCCAGCCUCUACUCAGUAACCUCCCGAUCCUGUCCCACCACCACAGCUGGUGUGUUAUUUUGUGUAAGCUACUUCAUCUUUCUGAGCCAGUGCUCCCAUCUAUGGGAUGCAGAUAAAAUUUCCUACCAGGUGGAGGUGUAAUGAAGAUUGAAUUAGAAAAUGUCAGUACUUGGGCUGCAUGUGGUAAAACAUGUCUUUAAUCCCAACUACUCAGGAGGGUGAGACAGGAGGAUCAAAAGUUCAAGGCCAGCCUGGGUGAUUUUGCUAGACUUGGCCAUAAAAUAAAAUAUAAAAAGGGGUGGAGUGUAGCUCAGGGUCAGAACACUUGCCUACCAUGAGUGAGGCCCUGUAUUCAAUCUUUCCUUCUUACUGAAAAGGAGGAAAGAAAAUGCCAGUACUUGGACAUGAGGGUGAUGUGGCUACAACACCUAGCACCCCAUUGAUCACCAGGGUUGAUUUGGCUAAUCUUGCCAGUUAGGUGAAUGUCCCCUGCCUCCCUCACUGAUCCAUGUAUGUCCCUCCUAAAGCUGCACACUCUGUUCUAAGAAUCGUUCUCCAGUCAAAAGUGUAUGAGGAAAAAAAAGUGUAUGAGUAAUGCACUCCCCUGGUAGAACUCUCAGGCAGCAUGUGUAGGACAACAUGAGUUAGCCAAACUUCCAAGACUGAAGACAUAUCAAAUGAGGCACUGCAGGUGCCAGACUGCCUUUCAAAAAAGAGAAAGAUGUCAGUACUUGAGGUUAGCUACUAAAUCUUGCACAAAUCUUUACCAUGAUAACCCUCUUAACUCCACCUAACACAAAAUCAAUGUGUUGAUUAGAAUAAUCUAGUUUUGCACUUCCCUGCCAACACUCCAAAAGGAGAGGGAGGCUUUAAUUUAGAAAGGAGGGAUUUUCUAUCUCUUGUAGUAAUUGAUAACAACUUUCAGUUGCAUCAGUAAAACAAUUUUGGAGAGUGAUAGUGUGGCCUAGAAUAAAGAACAGUCAAAUUCCUGUUUCCUGGUAUUUAUCUAAUUGGUCUAACAGGUGUUCCUAUUUGUUUAAAUAUAAUGUGCAAAGGAUAGAAAGCACCAUUUAAACCAGGUCAUUCUUCUCUAAGAAUCCAUUUAUGUCCAUUCCUUGUUUUAUGUAAACAGAAAUCACCUGUGUUAUUUUUCAAUAACACAAGACAAAGAACUCCACAGUCUGAAAAAGAAAAAAAAAGGAUUUUCCUUUACCUAAGUCGUCUUUAAUUCAUGUAAUUUCAAAAUAUCUGGAAUAAUUGGGCUCUUUGUCCAUUGCUUCAGAAGCCAAAUAUUAAGGACCCAAUAUAAUGAUAAUCUAUCUCAAUUAUUGAGGGCCAUGUGCAGGAAGUGCACUGAUUUCAAUACCUCUACAUGACGGCCCCCUGAGACAGUCCUAGGAGUAUGUCCACUCUACAGACGAGGAGACUGAGGUUCAGAGAGAUGACGUGGCUUCCUAAGGGGAGGGGCAGAGACAAGAUGAGGCCUGGUCUGUGAGUCCCAAAGCCUAUGCUUUUAGACACUGUCGUUACCCCAUUUUAGACCAAGGCUUGCACUUCCAGUGUGUUCUAGCAUGGCGUUGUCAGGAGCCCAUUUUUCUGCCUGUAGCAGACGUAUGGGAUUGGGAAGGUUAAAGAGAGUGGGGAAAUAAGGAGCAAAAACCAGCCAGCCACACAACUACAAGCAGGGUUCCUCAGACACCUGAUUCCUGGCUGCCUAACAUCUGUGCUCACACAGGGACUAGCAUCGCACUGGGUGUCCUGUUCUACCUGUGGCAGGCUGACAGGUACCUGCAAGAAGGCAUGACCUACAGGCUCGGGAUCAGCUUCUACCUGGCAUGGAUCGGCAUCUUCCUGUUCCUGAUGACUGGCUUCUUCUCCUAUCUGAAUUACAUGAAUUUCUGGUCUAUCCUGGCACUCCAGGCUGUCUGGACUUAGGACGCAGGAAUGGUCUCACCAGUGACCUACAGGCAUGGCUCCUCGUCAAGCACCCACUCCAGAGCCAUCCCCUCCAAGAGUCUUGUACUUUUUCAGCCCCCUUGAUACCCCUCAUUCCAGAUAAUAAAUGAUUUUUUAAAUAAUCUGUAUUUUCUGCCUAGAAUAUUCCUUUAUUUAGCUUUGCGCCUUGGAAGCAUUUUGUGAAAAGGCCACCCCUCUCUUCUGGCUAUCUUUGGGCCAUCUAGGAAAGAGGGACGGGGAAGGGGAGGCAAGG